AAUCAAUUGAGGUUAUGUUGUUCCCGGAAAAACAAAAACAAAUUCUUGUAAAUUGUGUCUUGUGCUUACGUGAUAUUUCAUCACUCAGUUCUCUUGCAAAUCUGCAAGAUCGCAAUGACUUAGAAGGAAAACACAUCGCAUCAGCGACAUACCGGCUUGGAAAGUAUAACGACAAAAGCUGCAAAGUGUGCUAAUUUCCACAAGGAAAAAGAAUAGUUCUACUUUGAAUUAAUUCAAUCUUGUGCGGGGAUGUCAAAUGUAUUUGCUUUUCACCCUAUGACUGAACUGUCCGGGAGCGCUAAAACUACGUAAGAGCAUCAUUCCCCAAUUCAUGAGAGGUACAAAUAAAUCUUCGCUUGAAAUCUCAUACAGUUCUGAACGUUCCGAGCUUCUAAGCGAUUAAAUCUGGUGGACGGACAUUUGUGAUGAUCAUAAAAAUUGUGUACUGGACAGUGAUCACCAUAAGAAUUCAAUUCGCACGGGUAAAGAGAUACACUAUGAUUCCCCGUCACGUCACCUCUAAUUCGGAGAAUUCGGAGUACACAUUGAUUAAAAUGUUCUCGUAGCUUCAAUCAAGCAGCAACCCCUAAGCACAUUGAAAUUUUGCGAUAACAAUGCUCCACAAAAAGUUUUAAACAGCAUGGGAUAAAGAUGAUCAAUUAUAUCAUAUCAAAUAUUAAAUUUAAAAUUUAAAAAAUAAUCCUCAAACCUGACUAAAUAUGUACCUAUAUAUUAUAAUUUUUUUUAUUUUAAGAUUUGUUUUAAAUUGUGAUCAUCAGGACUGUCCAAGAAAAAUAUCAUAUAUAUGUAAACAAAAGCUUUUAAACAGAUAUUAAAAAUUUA